AGUCGAGGGGUAUAGGUUUUCGGACCUAGAGACCGGCGCACGGGUGCGUAACGCGUAUGCAAUCUACCUUUUACAGAGGGAUAGCCCAGAGAAAUUUGGAUUAAUACCUCAUAGUAUUAUUGAAUGGCAUCAUUUAAUAAUUAAAGUCACAACGGUAAAAGAUGAGCAUGCGUCCCAUUAGCUUGUUGGUAAGGUAACGGCUUACCAAGGCAACGAUGGGUAGGGGUCCUGAGAGGGAGAUCCCCCACACUGGUACUGAGACACGGACCAGACUCCUACGGGAGGCAGCAGUGAGGAAUAUUGGUCAAUGGGCGCAAGCCUGAACCAGCCAUGCCGCGUGCAGGAUGACGGUCCUAUGGAUUGUAAACUGCUUUUGUACAGGAAGAAACAUCUCUACGUGUAGAGACUUGACGGUACUGUAAGAAUAAGGAUCGGCUAACUCCGUGCCAGCAGCCGCGGUAAUACGGAGGAUCCAAGCGUUAUCCGGAAUCAUUGGGUUUAAAGGGUCCGUAGGCGGUUUUGUAAGUCAGUGGUGAAAGCCCAUCGCUCAACGGUGGAACGGCCAUUGAUACUGCAAGACUUGAAUUAUUAGGAAGUAACUAGAAUAUGUAGUGUAGCGGUGAAAUGCUUAGAUAUUACAUGGAAUACCAAUUGCGAAGGCAGGUUACUACUAAUUGAUUGACGCUGAUGGACGAAAGCGUGGGGAGCGAACAGGAUUAGGUACCCUGGUAGUCCACGCCGUANACGAUGGAUACUAGCUGUUCGGAGCAAUCUGAGUGGCUAAGCGAAAGUGAUAAGUAUCCCACCU
rnacentral:rRNA from 1 species